rnacentral:rRNA from 1 species
AGAGUUUGAUCAUGGCUCAGAUUGAACGCUGGCGGCAUGCCUUACACAUGCAAGUCGAACGGCAGCGCGGGGCAACCUGGCGGCGAGUGGCGAACGGGUGAGUAAUAUAUCGGAACGUACCCUGGAGUGGGGGAUAACGUAGCGAAAGUUACGCUAAUACCGCAUACGAUCUAAGGAUGAAAGUGGGGGAUCGCAAGACCUCAUGCUCCUGGAGCGGCCGAUAUCUGAUUAGCUAGUUGGUGGGGUAAAGGCCUACCAAGGCAUCGAUCAGUAGCUGGUCUGAGAGGACGACCAGCCACACUGGAACUGAGACACGGUCCAGACUCCUACGGGAGGCAGCAGUGGGGAAUUUUGGACAAUGGGCGAAAGCCUGAUCCAGCAAUGCCGCGUGAGUGAAGAAGGCCUUCGGGUUGUAAAGCUCUUUUGUCAGGGAAGAAACGGUGAGGGCUAAUAUCUCUUGCUAAUGACGGUACCUGAAGAAUAGCACCGGCUAACUACGUGCCAGCAGCCGCGGUA